GAUGAAGAACGUAGUGAAAUGCGAUACGUAAUGUGAAUUGCAGAAUUCAGUGAAUCAUCGAAUCUUUGAACGCACAUUGCGCCCGCUAGUAUUCUGGCGGGCAUGCCUGUCCGAGCGUCAUUUCAACCCAUCAAGCUUAGCGCUUGUGUUGGAGCCCUGCGGCCGCCGCAGCCUCCUAAAAUCAGUGGCGGGCUCGCUAUCACGCUGAGUGCAGUAGUAUUCUUCUCACUCCUGUGGUGUAGCGGGUAACCAGCCGUAAACCCCCCCAUCUAUAAAGGUUGACCUCGGAUCAGGUAGGAAUACCCGCUGAACUUAAGCAUAUCAAUAAGCGGAGGA
rnacentral:misc_RNA from 1 species